UGGCUGAUGGAUGCCAUGUUCUUACAUGACAACUACCCUCUGGCCACAAGUGAGGAAGACAGAGGUGGAGGAAGGGGCACUUGACCCUGGAUCAGGACCCAGAGAGUUAUGCUCUAAUUUCUAUUCCGUGGCAGAGGAUAUUGAACUUGGUAUCCAUCAGAGGUCUCAUUGGCCCCCAUGAAAAGAAACAAUCUUUAAUAAGAAAGAGUGAAAAUGACAGCCAGAGAAGAUCUGGGAGAUAAGAUGGAGUGAUAUCCCCGCUCCUUUCAUGCAGCUGAUUGUGGUUUGUUUUGAGAGAGAGAGAGCAAGUGAGCACAUGUGCAGCCUUGCUCUGUGACGUGCCUGAUGCCCAGGGCUCCUGCCACAGGCACCUUUACACACGAAUCCAAAGUCCCAGAGUCAUUAAGAGAGUGGACUCUGAAGUCAGCCAGACCUGCUGUAACUUGGAAACAUGACUUCAAUAAUAACAGCUGAAAUUUUGUGCAAAGCAUGCAUCUAAAUGCUUUAUAUAAAUUCAUUUACCUAAAAAUAACUGACAUGAUUUCAAAACAUUCUUAUCUAAUCAUUUAAUUGCAGGGGGAAUUUCUCUAGGAAAGUUAAGUGAAAAGAAA